UGACCUCGAAUCAGGUAGGAAUACCCGCUGAACUUAAGCAUAUCAAUAAGCGGAGGAAAAGAAACCAACAGGGAUUGCCCCAGUAACGGCGAGUGAAGCGGCAACAGCUCAAAUUUGAAAUCUGGCCCCUAGGGCCCGAGUUGUAAUUUGCAGAGGAUGCUUUUGGCGAGGUGCCUUCCGAGUUCCCUGGAACGGGACGCCAUAGAGGGUGAGAGCCCCGUCUGGUUGGAUACCGAGCCUCUGUAAAGCUCCUUCGACGAGUCGAGUAGUUUGGGAAUGCUGCUCUAAAUGGGAGGUAUAUGUCUUCUAAAGCUAAAUACCGGCCAGAGACCGAUAGCGCACAAGUAGAGUGAUCGAAAGAUGAAAAGCACUUUGAAAAGAGGGUUAAACAGUACGUGAAAUUGUUGAAAGGGAAGCGUUUAUGACCAGACUUGGACCCGGUGAAUCAUCCAGCGUUCUCGCUGGUGCACUUUGCCGGGCUCAGGCCAGCAUUAGUUUGUCCCGGGGGAUAAAGGCUUAGGGAAUGUGGCUCCUCCGGGAGUGUUAUAGCCCUCUGCAUAAUACCCUGGGGCGGACUGAGGUUCGCGCAUCUGCAAGGAUGCUGGCGUAAUGGUCAUCAACGACCCGUCUUGAAACACGGACCA
rnacentral:rRNA from 1 species